UCCUCCGUGGCGCAAUUGGCUAGCGCGUUCGACUGUUACGAACCUUGGCAUCGAGAGGUUGGUGGUUCGAGCCCACCCGGAGGAG
rnacentral:tRNA from 2 species